CAGACGGGUGAGUAAUGCAUAGGUAAUCUACCCUUGAGUGGGGGACAACUCGUCGAAAGAUGGGCUAAUCCCGCAUAAUAUUUCGAUUUAUAAUGGUUGAAAUCAAAGGGGGGGCUCCUUCGGGACCUCUCGCUUGAGGAUGAGCUUAUGUCCUAUUAGUUUGUUGGUAGGGUAAUAGCCUACCAAGACUAUGAUGGGUAGCCGAGCUGAGAGGCUGAUCGGCCACACUGGAACUGAUACACGGUCCAGACUCCUACGGGAGGCAGCAGUGGGGAAUUUUGCGCAAUGGGCGAAAGCCUGACGCAGCGACGCCGCGUGAGGGAUGAAGGUCCUCGUGAUCGUAAACCUCUGUCAGGAAGGAUUAAGUGUAUAGUAGUUAAUAACUGCUAUGCUUGACUUAACUUCCAGAGGAAGCCCCGGCUAACUACGUGCCAGCAGCCGCGGUAAUACGUAGGGGGCAAGCGUUACUCGGAUUUAUUGGGCGUAAAGCGAAUGUAGGCUGUUUUGCAAGUCAGUGGUGAAAUCCCUCAGCUUAACUGAGGAAGUGCCUUUGAAACUGCAUAACUAGAGGACAGGAGAGGAAAGUGGAAUUCCCCGGGUGUAGCGGUGGAAUGCGUAGAAAUCGGGGAGGAACNACCAGAGGCGAAAGCGGGCUUUCUGGACUGAUCCUGACGCUGAGAUUCGAAAGCUAGGGGAGCAAACAGGAUUAGAUACCC
rnacentral:rRNA from 1 species